UGCCAUUUAAUACGAAUAUUGAACAAUGGCUAGGUUUUCUUCGCAGAGAAGGUGAGGGGAAACACAGCUCACUUACAUAGUGUACUAUAUAAAUAAAAUUGUGGUUGCCUAGACAAACAUUCUGAGCUCAGAAUUAGAACAAAGUUUGUCUAAAGACCUACGUAAAGUGUGGAGGAGGCAAAUAGGCUUAGUACGGAUGGAGGUUCCUAGCAUGCCUUUUAAGAGUUUGUAUUUUUUAAAAUAGUUAUUGGGAAGGCAUUAGACAUUAAUAGGAAGCAGUGACAUAGAUUUGCAGUUUAGAAAAUCAGGAGGAUGUAGAGCAGGUGAAAUGGAGAGAAGAAUCUGUAGGUGGAGAGCUUCCCGUUCUGUCUGAUGGCCAAGAUCAUCCAUACCUCUUCAGUUAUGGAGACAGUAACCUGCAUAGACUUCUUGACCACCUUCCAUACUUACUAAGAGUUGGAUUCCCUGUAGUAAGUACCUUAUUCCAUAUUAUGUGUCAUAGUUUUGCUUCUCUCAUUGAACCCUUAGUGAUGUAGAGAGGUUUUCUUUUUAAUGGGUGUCUUUAGAUUACAGAUAGUGUGAAAUGAGGGUGACAGAAGUUGAGACCGAAGAGGUAAAUAUGAUAUAGGUAAUCAAACACCUCAUAUUUCAUGAUAAAUUUGUAUAAAUUUUGUACAAGGAGAAAGUGAUUAUUUCCAUUAUAAUGCUCAGGAGAAGGAAGUUAGAAGUGGGUAAAUUUGCAGGUAAGUGUCAAGCAUUUGGAAGAGUGCAUAUCUAUUUUCCCAAUGAGGUAGAAGGUAAUAAUUAGUGGCAAUUUUUUUCAGAGAAACAACACAGAAGUGGGACUGUGUAAUUUUGUUUUAGAUAGAACUAUGUUUAAAGUAUUUUCUAGUAUAAAGUAGGAAAUGAUUAAAUUAGAUUUA
rnacentral:lncRNA from 13 species